GAUGAACGCUGGCGGCGUGCCUAAUACAUGCAAGUCGAGCGAACAGAUGAGGAGCUUGCUCCUCUGACGUUAGCGGCGGACGGGUGAGUAACACGUGGAUAACCUACCUAUAAGACUGGGAUAACUUCGGGAAACCGGAGCUAAUACCGGAUAAUAUAUUGAACCGCAUGGUUCAAUAGUGAAAGACGGUUUUGCUGUCACUUAUAGAUGGAUCCGCGCCGCAUUAGCUAGUUGGUAAGGUAACGGCUUACCAAGGCAACGAUGCGUAGCCGACCUGAGAGGGUGAUCGGCACACUGGAACUGAGACACGGUCCAUACUCCUACGGUAGGCAGCAGUAGGGAAUCUUCCGCAAUGGGCGAAAGCCUGACGGAGCAACGCCGCGUGAGUGAUGACGGUCUUCGGAUCGUAAAACUCUUUUAUUAGGGAAGAACAAAUGUGUAAGUAACUAUGCACGUCUUGACGGUACCUAAUCAGAAAGCCACGGCUAACUACGUG
rnacentral:rRNA from 1 species